rnacentral:misc_RNA from 1 species
UUUGGUGAUGAUUCAAUCAAUGAUUGUCUCUUACCUUUGAUCUAAUCGUUUCCGCAAAAUUCUCUUCUCGUUUUUUCUGAUUUCAAGCUCAACAAUCUCAAAAUAAUCAAUUUUUGGUAGUGUGUUAAAUCUGAGAA